ensembl:lncRNA
CUCUGUGGGCCACUGCAGCACAGCAAUGGCCCGGGCCCACGACAGCUCGGGGCACGCCGGGUUCUUUCGAUGAUUAGGUUCUGGGGGCCAAGGGUGGGUGACGAGACAGACAGCCCUGCUAGGAAAUCAGACUCCAGGAGAGGUUGAGUAGGGGACAGACAGAGCCCAUCCUACCUCCCGCCAGGCAGCCCUGAGCAGCAGGAGCCGAGGGCAGCUGCCUGCUUGCCGGGUGUGGCCGGGCAGGCUGUCAGCAAUGACCUCAGGGUUGUGCCUGUCCUCAGAGCGACACUGGGCUCUGUGCAGCCCCACCUCACAGCCGCCAGCUCACUCUGGCCUUGCUCCAGGGACCAGACGCCCAGCAAUGAGCCAGGGCAGCAACCUGGUGGGUCCAUCCGGGGACCCGAUCCCAUCUGGCCCAUUAAGAGCCCUCACCUUCCUCCCACGCCAGUGCCCAGGGCAGAGGCCUUUGUGAAAAUCCCCUAAGCACCGGCCGGCAGUGGGCCUCCCUGGCUCAGAGAUCACACACUGGUUGCUGGGUUCGGGCCCAAGCUAGCGAGAGGGAAAUAGCUGGUGGUUUCAGAAAACCCAACUGCAAAGGUGUUCAUGGUCAAACCGUCAGCCAGCGGGAGCUCAGCACACCCUUAGCUGCUUUAAGGAAGUAUUUGCCAAGCUGAGCUAAAAAAGAAGUUGAGGCUCUGUGUCUCCAAUUUAGUAGAAAAGAAUCUAAAUUUACAUACAGAGUCCCAUGAUAAGUCAUUUGGGAUCCCCCGGAGCGGGCCGGCUGCUUGUGGUGAGAGCGGGGUGAGUCAACGAGGCCAACAAAUGAGCCUGAUGAGGUCAGCGAUUUGGAGAAGGAACAAAGGAAACUGCAGCCCAGCCCGCGGUGGCGCGGGUGCCGAGGCAGCGGCCAUGCAGAGCCGAUUCUGAGGCCGCCAGCCCAGCAGUUCUCAACCGGGGACAACUUGGGCGAUGUCUGCAGACCUCUGUCGCUGUCCCAGUUGGGGGAGACAGGUGCUACUCGUGUCCAGUGGGCGGAGGCCAGGGACACUGCCCGACUCUCCCCUCUGCCCCCUAGCACAGCACUACCUGUCCCCAAGUGUCAACCACCCGCACUACAAUUGAGAAACUGCUCUAAGGCACUGAAAAAUCUCUGCUUCGGGAGCCCUGGGCCCCCAGGCCGAGGCCCCCAUGAUGACAGCUGUCCCUGCAGCAUCUUGGGAGGGGCCGCUGGCAGGGAGCGCCACCGGGCCAAUGCCUGCCUGGCUGACCCCGGGCCCCGGGAUUUCAGCACUUACCCCAGCUGCCUGAAGACCCCAGUGCUGCUGUGGGUGACAGCCGCGAGAACAGGUGACGGCUCACAGCACCGCCGCCCUCACCUCCACCCCUCACCUGAGAGCUGGAGCUGUGUUUGGAGAAAGGGAGCUGCAGCGUGGAGAGCUCCCACAUCCUCCAGGAAGCCUUUGGGCACUGAGUUUAACCACAGAGGCCCAGAGCUGGUUGGCGCCUGCUUGGCCUCCUGCCCCCGACGAGAAAAAUGAACGCAAUGAAGUGUUUGAGAAACCUCCAGGUCCGAAUCCAUGGGAAGGCCCAGCCAGGAACCCAGGACUGGGGUCUCCAUCGUGUCCAAAAGCGAGAAUUUAAAAGGAGGAUGAAAAAGUCCCUGAGCUGCACAGUGGUGCUGCUGCACGGCGCUGUGAUGUUCUACCAUCUGCCGAAGGCCACACGCUGUACGAGAGUGAGACUGGGGGUAGGUGGAUCUCAGGUUCAAAGAGGUGCAGGGAAGGGUGGGGGCCGUGCUGUGGUGUAAGCAGGUUAAGCUGCUGCCUGCAAUGCUGGCAUCCCGUGAGCAUCGGGCCCUGUCCCUGCCGCCCCACUUCUGACCCAGCUCCCUGCUAAUGAGCCUGGGAAAAGCAGCAGACGAUGGCCCAAGUGCUGGGGCCCCUGCUACCCAUGUGGGGGACUCAAAUGAAGCUCUUGGCUCAUGGCUUCAUCCUGGCCCAACCCUGGCAUUGUGGUCAUCUGGGGAGUGAACCAGUGAAUGGAAGAUCUCUCUCUCCCUCUCUCUCCCUCCUUACCUCCCUUCCUCUCUGUAACUUUGACUUUCUAAUAAAUAAAUAGACCUUAAAAAAGUUGGGGGUAAG